rnacentral:rRNA from 1 species
UACGGGGGGAGCAAGCGUUGUUCGGAUUUACUGGGCGUAAAGCGCACGUAGGCGGGCUGUUAAGUCGGAUGUGAAAGCCCUCGGCUUAACCGAGGAAGUGCAUUCGAAACUGGCAGCCUUGAGUACAGAAGAGGGUCGCGGAAUUCCCGGUGUAGAGGUGAAAUUCGUAGAUAUCGGGAGGAACACCAGUGGCGAAGGCGGCGACCUGGGCUGGAUACUGACGCUGAGGUGCGAAAGCGUGGGGAGCAAACAGGG